GCGCCUGUAGCCCAACGGAUAGGGCAACAGCCUCCGGAGCUGUGUGUGCAGGUUCGAUUCCCGCCAGGCGCA
rfam:Omnitrophica WOR_2 bacterium GWA2_47_8 gwa2_scaffold_1284, whole genome shotgun sequence.